rnacentral:miRNA from 1 species
AGGACUUCAAGUGGAAGAUU